UACGAAUGGAGCGAGCGUUGUUCGGAAUCACUGGGCGUAAAGGGCGCGUAGGCGGUGGGAUAAGUCAGAUGUGUAAGCUCAGGGCUCAACCCUGAAAUUGCAUCUGAUACUGUCUCACUUGAGUUGGGUAGAGGAGGGCGGAAUUCCUGGUGUAGCGGUGAAAUGCGUAGAUAUCAGGAGGAACACCUGUGGCGAAGGCGGCUCUCUGGUCCCACACUGACGCUGAGGCGCGAAAGUUAGGGUAGCAAACAGG
rnacentral:rRNA from 1 species